AAAGAGCGCGUCGUUCUAUACCUAGUGGAGACGGACAACUUUUCCAGCGCCGGGUUUCGGGGGGUUCCCAAGCUCUCCUCGCCUUUGGCCUGGGCAUCUUCACACUUUUAUUACGCUACACACAAGCUCAGCCCCCCCAAAAAUGAAUUAUCCACCCCGCCCCUGGGUGAAGAAAAGGGAACAAAGAAACGCAAACUCAAAACAGAAACGAAGAAGAUGGUUUAGAUAACAGCGAGGUUCAAAGAUCUUUAAACGCCUUACCUAGUUGAUUUACAUUUUUACUGUAAUAUGAAUUUCCCUAACGGAAAAAAAAAACAGUUAGUCAGCCUGAGACGAAACAAAUCUCAUAUGAUUAUGAGUCACUCCCUGUUUAAUUCCCCCCCUCCGAUUACACCCUCCGAUUAAACUGCUGCCUGGCGUCGCUAGUCCGCUCCGGCUCCGCAGGAGACAGGCUGUCAAACCCGAGACGGGGAAGCCGGGUCCGGGCCGCCCCACGGAGAGCGCCUCGGCCUCCCACUGGCUGGUCUACACCUCCACAGCAGUGUCGGAGGCGGGGCUCCUCUCCCAGCUCCUGAUCUCCAGGGUUCUGGACCAGCAGACGGUCUCUCACUGGGACAGCGCCUCCUGGAGAGAGACUCACACCAGCCACUGGCCCAGCAGAGCUGCCGGCCUCAGAGAUGUCAACUACGAGCAUGAGGAGAUGGAGAACAGGGAGAGGCUGCAGGGAAUCCUGAGGACGAGGAGCAACAUGGGGAAAGGUCAGUCAGCCCUUCGCUCUGUCCUCUGUCCUCUGUUUCUGUGUGUCAGUGUCAUCAGUCUCUGUGUGUGUGUGUCACUGUCCUCUGUCUCUGUGUCUGUCAGUGUCCUCGGUCUCUCUCUCUUCAGAUGUGCUGUGAUCUGGGGGAUGAUGGGAGUUUGUCUGUACUGUUAGUCUCCUCAGUCUCUCUCUUCAGAUGUGCUCCAGAGCUGGUGAGGCUGUAGACUGGGGGAUGAUGGGAGUGUGGCUCUGUUUGAUCACUACGGCUUCAAUGGACAAGACUUCCUGUCCUUUGAGGUGGACACUAUGACCUGGAGAGCAAGUUCCCUACAGGCAGAGGACACUCAGAGGGACUGGAACCAGAACAGGGUUAAAAACCAGUAUAUCAGAGCCUUCCUAGAGAUUGACUGUAUGGAAACACUGAAGAGAUUCCUGGAGUUCAGAAAAAUAGACAAAAACCACACAGGUGAGACAGAGAAAACUCCCAGUGCAGUAUUAAUGUACUGGAGUGUCCAGUCAGUGUGUCUGUAUUAACCCCUCUCUUUCUCAGUGCAGUGUUAAUGUACGGGAGUGUCCAGUCAGUGCGUCUGUAUUAACCCCUCUCUCUCAUUGCAGUUUUAAUGUACUGGAGUGUCCGUCCAGUCAGUGUCUCUGUAUGAACCCCUCUCUCUCUCAGUGCAGUGUUAAUGUACUGGAGUGUCCAGUCAGUGUGUCUGUAU
rnacentral:lncRNA from 1 species